UAAAUAUUAAGCUUAUAUUCCGGUGUUUAAAUUCGGGAUUUUUACAAAUUAAAUUAUCUCCCUUUGUGGAACUCUCGUGUAAAGAAGAUAAAGAAGAAUGAUUGGAGAAAGCCAAAUGUCAACAAAAUGGAUGGUUUGAAAUGUAGUUUUGGUGAAAAUUGUAAAGAGAAAGCAGAUAAUAUACUUUAAGAUUGUAAGAAAGACACUUCAGCACACUUGAGAUUUUUUGAAUGUACAUCUGAGUCAGAUUCGAUAAUGCCCAACCUUGGUGCCAGGCACAUUACUGGAAGAAGAAGAUUUUGCACAAAUACCAGAAUCAUUGUGCUGGUGUGCAUGGGCUGAGGCUGUCAAAUUUCAGCGGGCGUACAUGUGCUAAACACAGGCAGGACUGGAAUUCAGUGGAAAAGGAAAAGGAAAACAUGCUGUAAUUCACUACAUAAAAAAUCUCAAUCAGACACAAUCCCGAGUGGAAUUACAUUCAUUCAAAGCCGAGAGAUAUGGAUGAAGCUGAGCACACAUUUUCCAACUGGUUCUGGUGUUCGCAGAAGACGCAUUGAGAGAAAACUGUGUCAAGAUUAAUACAGAUCUGAAGGAGGAGUUGAAAGAAAUAUGCUGUUUAUUAGAGAGAAACUACAGAUUCUGAAGCAAUGGAUGCUGAUAUAUCUUUUUCUAACCCAAGAGAUUUUGAUCUUCUGUCAUCUCAGAAAACUGUGGGGUCUGAUCAGUCCAAAGAUGAAAGAUCAGAGCAUGAAAUCUUAUAUAAAUUGAUUAUUUUAGGCCAUUAAUAGACAAACGUGUAUCAAUUGAGGAUGUAAACUAGAUAAUAGCACUUCAUUAUUGAUUUGAUGAUAAGAGUUGUCUAACAUCACUUGUAUGAAUUGAUGAUGUUAUUUAGCCAAAAGUGCUACAUGUAUGAAUGUUGGCUAGUAGCUCUACAUGUAUGAAUUAAUGAUGUUAGUUAUUUAAUAGUGCUACAUGUAUGAAUUGAUAAUUUUAUUUGUCUAAUAGUGCUACAAGAAGGAAUUGAUAAUGUAAGUUUGCUAAAAACAUUACAUAAUUAUAUGAAUUGAUGUUGUCAGUUCUCUAAUAGCAUUUCAUGUAUGAAUGAUGAUGUUAGUCCUCUAUUAGCACUACAUGUAUACGAAUUGAUAAUGUUUUUGUAAUAAUAGCGCUACAGGUAUGAAUUGAUUGUUAUUUGGCUAAUAGCGCUACGUGUAUCAAUUGAGGAUAUACAUGUAAACUUUAUGGAUGAUUUGAUGAUAAAAGUUGACUUAUAGCACUUGUGUGAAUUGAUGGUGUUACUUGGCUAGCCAAUUGUGCUAUACGUUUGAAUUGGUGAUGUUCUAAGACUAGUAGCGCCACAUGUAUUAAUUGAUGAGGUUAUUUUGCUAACAGCGCUACAUGAAUUGAUGAUGUUAUUUGGCCAAUAGUGAAACAUGUACAUACAUGAAUUAAUGACCAUAGUUGUCUUAAAUUGCUACAUGUUUAAAUUGAUGAUGUUAUUUGGCAAAUAGUGCUUCAUGUAUGAAUUGAUGUUGUUUGGUUAUUAGUGCUAUAUGUAGGAAUCAAUGAUGUUAUUUAGCUUUUAGUGCAACAUGUAUGAAUGAUGAUAACAGUUGUUUAAUAGCACUACAUAUAUGAAUUUAUGAUUUUAUUUGACUAAAAGAUAAGUGCUACAUGUGUGCAUUGUUGGUGUUUGGUUAUUAGUGCUACAUGUAUAAAUUGAUGGUAAUACAUGUAUUUGUCUAAUAGUGUUACAUGUAUGAAUUGAAAAUAGAUGUCUUAUACGGCUACAUGUAUAAAUUAAUGAUUUUAUUUGACUAAUAGCACUACAUGUAUGAAUUGAUGUUGUUAUUUGGCGACAAGUGAUACAUGUAUUAAUUGAUAAUAGUUGUCUACUAUUGCUACAUGUAUAAAUUGAUGAUUUUACAUGACUAAUAGCACUACAUGUAUUAUUGAUGAUGUUAUUUGGCUAAUAGGGAUGCAUGUAUUAAUUGAUGAUGAUAGCUUUCUAAAUUAAAAUUAAUUGCACAUCUCUGUCUUUUUUUCGUAAGUUACUGAAUAGUGAAUAUUUCAAUUCACAGAUUUUGUUUCUUUUUCUGAAAUUAAAAUUCUCUAUCCGAUGUAUUCAUUGAAGGUUAAAUUUGGUUGUAUUGCAUAUUUUAUUUCAUAGCUUUGUAAACAAUGGCUAUUCAUAUUUCAUGAAUAUAACUGCAACAAUUUGGUCUUUGCUUUUUGCUCCAUUUGAAGCAAAGGCUCAUUACAAGUAUCUCUUAUAAAUGAGUGUUACAUGUAGGCUUUUCAGGAGUUUUUUUUUCAUAUCAGGUAAUAUAUGCACAUUUUGAAGUUUAUAACUGUAUCAAAUAAUCCAUGAAUAUUAAACAGGUUAAUUAUUAAGUUAAAGAUUGUUAUUUGCUGUGUUCUUCUCAGAUAUCAUCUUGACAAUAUACUUAUGCUGUAAACUCUGCUCAAAAAUACAAAUGUAUACGAUAAAAAAAAUCGUUUGAUAUGUACACUCAUUAAAAU